rnacentral:rRNA from 1 species
UGCAGUCGAGCGGAUGAAGGGAGCUUGCUCCUGGAUUCAGCGGCGGACGGGUGAGUAAUGCCUAGGAAUCUGCCUGGUAGUGGGGGAUAACGUCCGGAAACGGGCGCUAAUACCGCAUACGUCCUGAGGGAGAAAGUGGGGGAUCUUCGGACCUCACGCUAUCAGAUGAGCCUAGGUCGGAUUAGCUAGUUGGUGGGGUAAAGGCCUACCAAGGCGACGAUCCGUAACUGGUCUGAGAGGAUGAUCAGUCACACUGGAACUGAGACACGGUCCAGACUCCUACGGGAGGCAGCAGUGGGGAAUAUUGGACAAUGGGCGAAAGCCUGAUCCAGCCAUGCCGCGUGUGUGAAGAAGGUCUUCGGAUUGUAAAGCACUUUAAGUUGGGAGGAAGGGCAGUAAGUUAAUACCUUGCUGUUUUGACGUUACCAACAGAAUAAGCACCGGCUAACUUCGUGCCAGCAGCCGCGGUAAUACGAAGGGUGCAAGCGUUAAUCGGAAUUACUG